rnacentral:rRNA from 1 species
AGCCCACCAGCUAGCUCACCCCCUAAACAUAACAAUCAACUAUUAAUUAACCCCUAAAGACCUAGAAUACCCAAGGCCAAACCAUUUUUCCCCCUAAGUAUGGGAGACAGAAAAG